rnacentral:rRNA from 1 species
UACGUAGGGUGCGAGCGUUGUCCGGAAUUACUGGGCGUAAAGAGCUCGUAGGUGGUUUGUCGCGUUGUCCGUGAAAACUCACAACUCAAUUGUGGGCGUGCGGGCGAUACGGGCAGACUGGAGUACUGCAGGGGAGACUGGAAUUCCUGGUGUAGCGGUGGAAUGCGCAGAGUAUCAGGAGGAACACCGGUGGCGAAGGCGGGUCUCGUGGGCCGUAAGCUGGACGCUGGAGGAGCGAAAGCGUGGGGAGCGAACAGG